rnacentral:misc_RNA from 1 species
UGCCGGUAUGAUGCAUACCUUUUGCUUAUUGUUUUUUGGAUGGGUUAUUUACUUGAAGCACCUAUUUUUUAUAAGAUCAAGUAAGCUCAACCACUUGAUCUUGGCUUUUGAGAGCCAGACCCAAUCCCGUUGUUCUGCUGCUAGACAGCCAGCUUUAUGGUUCAAUUUCACUUAAAAUAUGUGAAAAUUCAAAAUACAUGUGUGAUUAAUGAAAUUUCAUUCAAGUGUGGGUUUCUGUUG